rnacentral:rRNA from 1 species
UACAGAGGUCCCAAGCGUUGUUCGGAUUCACUGGGCGUAAAGGGUGCGUAGGUGGCCAGGUAAGUUCGGUGUGAAAGCUCGGAGCUUAACUCCGAAAUGUCAUUGAAUACUAUCUGGCUAGAGGGUCGGAGGGGAGACUGGAAUUCUCGGUGUAGCAGUGAAAUGCGUAGAUAUCAGGAGGAACACCGAUGGCGAAGGCAGGUCUCUGGGCCACUACUGACGCUGAGAAGCGAAAGCAUGGGGAGCGAACAGG